rnacentral:rRNA from 1 species
UACGUAGGGGGCGAGCGUUAUCCGGAAUUACUGGGCGUAAAGCGCACGCAGGCGGUUCGCCAAGUUUGGAGUGACAGUUGUCGGCUCAACCGACAAAGGACUUCAAAAACUGGUGAACUUGAGGACGAGAGAGGAACAUGGAACUCCAGGUGUAGUAGUGAAAUGCGUAGAUAUCUGGAAGAACACCAAUGGCGAAGGCAAUGUUCUGGCUCGUUUCUGACGCUCAUGCACGAAAGCGUGGGGAGCAAACAGG